rnacentral:rRNA from 1 species
AUUGAACGCUGGCGGCAGGCUUAACACAUGCAAGUCGAGCGAGUGGCGGACGGGUGAGUAAUGUCUGGGAAACUGGCUGAUGGAGGGGGAUAACUACGGGAAACGGUAGCUAAUACCGCAUACCAUCAGAUGUGCCCAGAUGGGAUUAGCUAGUAGGUGGGGUAAUGGCUCACCAAGGCGACGAUCCCUAGCUGGUCUGAGAGGAUGACCAGCCACACUGGAACUGAGACACGGUCCAGACUCCUACGGGAGGCAGCAGUGGGGAAUAUUGCACAAUGGGGGCAACCCUGAUGCAGCCAUGCCGCGUGUGUGAAGAAGGCCUUCGGGUUGUAAAGUACUUUCAGCGGGGAGGCGUUAACCGCAGAAGAAGCACCGGCUAACUCCGUGCCAGCAGCCGCGGUAAUUC